rnacentral:lncRNA from 13 species
AUGGCGAAUUGUGACUAUUUACAAACUCAGCUAACCUCUGUUUUGAACUCGCUUGUUAAAAUUGCGGUCGUGGAACUACUGCGAAUUGUGGAGGAUAGCGCCGUUGAACUUCGUCUGGAGGUGUCCAAGAGUAAAUUUGAGAACGAAGCACUGAAAAUUGAGAACGAGUCUAACAAAAACAAGUUGCAGAGUUUGGAAGCAGAACUGUGGACAGCGGGAAAUCGACCAUGUUCCAUGUGUUAUCGUUGUGUUGGAACUCCAGCUCGCGGUAAAGGUGGAUGCGUCAGCCCCAAAAUAGAUGGAGAUGCUGCUGGUCCUCCUAAUUCUUCAGAGGAGGACAAUGCAUCAUCAUGGCUGCAACAAUCUGCUCAUACCAUGGACGAGACUACAGCAGCCAUGGAGAGGGAUGGGAUUCAAAUCGUUGUCAUUAAGAACGAAGCGGGGCAUGAAGGCACACACAGGAAGAAGGACCCACAGGCUGGAAUUUCAACAGAAGGUGAGCAGCCGUGUCCCAAAGUGGACAUGGUGUAUGGCAAGGAGUGGAGCCAAAGCCUGUGGCGAGAUGGAAAAGAAAUAGGAGACCGCAGCGACGGAACAGAGGAGAAAGAAACUCCAGGACCAUCAAUGACCCAGCAUCAGAAAAGGAGAAUUGUCCAUUAUGCAGAUGAUUGGAUUGAAGAGGACUGGAUUAAAGAGGAGGGCGUACCAGUGGAAACCAAUGAAAGUAUUGAUACUUCAGUCAUCCCAUUCAUGGCGGACAGUGAUUUGUCAGAGUAUGGAGACGGGCUAUCCACACUUUGCAGCCAAGCCAAUUACAUGGAUGCCAUGACAGAGAGCUUGAAAGGCAGAUUAGGGUCUGUUAGGGAUAAACAAACCACACGAUUAAAAACUGGAUUGUUGGGGAAUACUAAUGCCAAGAAGAAACAGAGAAUAAUUGAACUAGGCUGGAUGGACUUCAAUGAAAAGGGGAAAGAGUUCAAGCAAGUCAGGACAGUAAACGGUGGCGGUACAAGACACCUCUAUGUUGACAAGAAGAAAUCUGUUGAGGAAAUCAAAGUAAUGGCAGAGGAAAUGUUUUUCCCAAAUGGACUUUCAAAGAAAAACACACAACUGGAGGACUAUCAUCGAGAAAUCAGAUGGAGGUACUCUCAAGUAAACAAUUCAAGCACUGUGGAAGAACUUUAUGAGGAAACCAAAGUGGGAUGUCUACGACUCUAUCUUUGCACAAAGGCACACAGUGUCCGCGAUUUUGGGGUUGUAGUCAGUGCCGCCUCUGCCUAUACACAGAGUACGCGCUGCGCGUAG